CACUAUCGUUAACUGAAUACAUAGGUUAACGAGGCGAACCGGGGGAACUGAAACAUCUAAGUACCCCGAGGAAAAGAAAUCAACCGAGAUUCCCCCAGUAGCGGCGAGCGAACGGGGAGCAGCCCAGAGUCUGAAUCAGCUUGUGUGUUAGUGGAACGGUCUGGAAAGUCCGACGGUACAGGGUGAUAGUCCCGUACACCAAAAUGCACAGGCUGUGAACUCGAAGAGUAGGGCGGGACACGUGGUAUCCUGUCUGAAUAUGGGGGGACCAUCCUCCAAGGCUAAAUACUCCUGACUGACCGAUAGUGAACCAGUACCGUGAGGGAAAGGCGAAAAGAACCCCGGCGAGGGGAGUGAAAAAGAACCUGAAACCGUGUACGUACAAGCAGUGGGAGCACCUUCGGGUGUGACUGCGUACCUUUUGUAUAAUGGGUCAGCGACUUAUAUUCUGUAGCAAGGUUAACCGUAUAGGGGAGCCGCAGGGAAACCGAGUCUUAACUGGGCGUUAAGUUGCAGGGUAUAGACCCGAAACCCGGUGAUCUAGCCAUGGGCAGGUUGAAGGUUGGGUAACACUAACUGGAGGACCGAACCGACUAAUGUUGAAAAAUUAGCGGAUGACUUGUGGCUGGGGGUGAAAGGCCAAUCAAACCGGGAGAUAGCUGGUUCUCCCCGAAAGCUAUUUAGGUAGCGCCUCGUGAAUUCAUCUUCGGGGGUAGAGCACUGUUUCGGCUAGGGGGUCAUCCCGACUUACCAACCCGAUGCAAACUACGAAUACCGAAGAAUGUUAUCACGGGAGACACACGGCGGGUGCUAACGUCCGUCGUGAAGAGGGAAACAACCCAGACCGCCAGCUAAGGUCCCAAAGUCAUGGUUAAGUGGGAAACGAUGUGGGAAGGCACAGACAGCCAGGAUGUUGGCUUAGAAGCAGCCAUCAUUUAAAGAAAGCGUAAUAGCUCACUGGUCGAGUCGGCCUGCGCGGAAGAUGUAACGGGGCUAAACCAUGCACCGAAGCUGCGGCAGCGACACUAUGUGUUGUUGGGUAGGGGAGCGUUCUGUAAGCCUGCGAAGGUGACCUGUGAGGGUUGCUGGAGGUAUCAGAAGUGCGAAUGCUGACAUAAGUAACGAUAAAGCGGGUGAAAAGCCCGCUCGCCGGAAGACCAAGGGUUCCUGUCCAACGUUAAUCGGGGCAGGGUGAGUCGACCCCUAAGGCGAGGCCGAAAGGCGUAGUCGAUGGGAAACAGGUUAAUAUUCCUGUACUUGGUGUUACUGCGAAGGGGGGACGGAGAAGGCUAUGUUAGCCGGGCGACGGUUGUCCCGGUUUAAGCAUGUAGGCUGGUUGUCCAGGCAAAUCCGGAUAAUCAAGGCUGAGGUGUGAUGACGAGGCACUACGGUGCUGAAGUAACAAAUGCCCUGCUUCCAGGAAAAGCCUCUAAGCAUCAGGUAACAUCAAAUCGUACCCCAAACCGACACAGGUGGUCAGGUAGAGAAUACCAAGGCGCUUGAGAGAACUCGGGUGAAGGAACUAGGCAAAAUGGUGCCGUAACUUCGGGAGAAGGCACGCUGGUGUGUAGGUGAAGCCCCUGCGGGUGGAGCUGAGACCAGUCGAAGAUACCAGCUGGCUGCAACUGUUUAUUAAAAACACAGCACUGUGCAAACACGAAAGUGGACGUAUACGGUGUGACGCCUGCCCGGUGCCGGAAGGUUAAUUGAUGGGGUUAUCCGUAAGGAGAAGCUCUUGAUCGAAGCCCCGGUAAACGGCGGCCGUAACUAUAACGGUCCUAAGGUAGCGAAAUUCCUUGUCGGGUAAGUUCCGACCUGCACGAAUGGCGUAAUGAUGGCCAGGCUGUCUCCACCCGAGACUCAGUGAAAUUGAACUCGCUGUGAAGAUGCAGUGUACCCGCGGCAAGACGGAAAGACCCCGUGAACCUUUACUAUAGCUUGACACUGAACAUUGAGCCUUGAUGUGUAGGAUAGGUGGGAGGCUUUGAAGCGUGGACGCCAGUCUGCGUGGAGCCAACCUUGAAAUACCACCCUUUAAUGUUUGAUGUUCUAACGUUGGCCCCUUACCGGGGUUGCGGACAGUGUCUGGUGGGUAGUUUGACUGGGGCGGUCUCCUCCCAAAGCGUAACGGAGGAGCACGAAGGUUAGCUAAUCCUGGUCGGACAUCAGGAGGUUAGUGCAAUGGCAUAAGCUAGCUUGACUGCGAGCGUGACGGCGCGAGCAGGUGCGAAAGCAGGUCAUAGUGAUCCGGUGGUUCUGAAUGGAAGGGCCAUCGCUCAACGGAUAAAAGGUACUCCGGGGAUAACAGGCUGAUACCGCCCAAGAGUUCAUAUCGACGGCGGUGUUUGGCACCUCGAUGUCGGCUCAUCACAUCCUGGGGCUGAAGUAGGUCCCAAGGGUAUGGCUGUUCGCCAUUUAAAGUGGUACGCGAGCUGGGUUUAGAACGUCGUGAGACAGUUCGGUCCCUAUCUGCCGUGGGCGCUGGAGAAUUGAGGGGGGCUGCUCCUAGUACGAGAGGACCGGAGUGGACGCAUCACUGGUGUUCGGGUUGUCAUGCCAAUGGCACUGCCCGGUAGCUAAAUGCGGAAGAGAUAAGUGCUGAAAGCAUCUAAGCACGAAACUUGCCCCGAGAUGAGUUCUCCCUGAGACUUUAAGUCUCCUGAAGGAACGUU
rnacentral:rRNA from 1 species